AUUUUAUUUUUAUGCUGAAUUUUUUCUUCUUUUGCAAUUUCAGUACGAUACAUGCAAUGUCAAUUCUAUUAAUAACUUACUAAGGAUUCUUGAGACUGUAAUUUUCCAAAGUUGCUGUACACAAACAGUGAACGAUUAAAAUAUUGGCUAUAUUGUCUUGUAUAAAUAAAAAUUUCGUAGUUUCACUCAUUCUUCUGCAGAAAAAAAAACUCAUCACUUGGGUUUCUGGGAAAAAAAUGGCCUUUCAAGAUUUAACUGAAGGCCAGUGUGGCGGGCCAAGUUCAUUGAUACGCCUCACAACACACUUUGUACAAGAUCAUGGUUUCAAAGAUGAAGGCUUUCAACAUACUUUUGGACAUGCUGAACAAUUUGAACCAACCAAUUCAGAACAACUAGUGAAACAGUUUCUCGAAGAAAGUGCUGUACACCCCCAGACUUUUCGUAUGGAUAAUCUUCUCCAGGGAAUGUGUGAGAUUGAACACACUGUGAAUCCUCCAGUUUCUGCACCUGGUGUCAUUAGAGAGAUUACUGGAUUAGAUACUGCUUGGGCAAAUCAGUAUUUGGAAUCUGGACGCCACUUUGAUGAAAAUCAUGCAGAUGAUAUUUGGAAUUCUCAAGUAGAUUCAAUUAUUCCACAAGGACAAGUUGUUGACGAAACCCACGAGUUUGGGCUAGGACCAAAAUGGGCAGAGGAAUACUUAGAGCAUAGUGUCGACAACUUGGAAAAUGAUGACGAUAAAACUUGUUUCCCACAAAGGCUCGAUAAUUCUUCAAGCGAAGAUGCAAAUGUCGCUUAUUCAAAAUUCAUGAAAUUUAUGAAACAGGAAGGCGAUAUCCCGAUUGAAUCCAGUCAAGAUUUAAGCCAAAUUGACGAUAAAUGGAGUGAAGAGUAUUUGGAGGAUACGAAAAACGAAGAUAGAUCUAUCGCAAAGGAAGAUGUCCUUAAUAAGGUUGAAGAAGAAUUGGCAGUAGCUGGAAAGUGGGUUGAAGAGUUUUCGAAAGAAUCUUCUAAAACUAAAGAUGGCGAUAAUUAUGAAGCAACUUUUUGGAAUCGUCUGCAAGAGGAAUGGGAAAAAGUGACAGCAUCAGAAGAAGUUUCAGCGCCACAUCCUUGGAUUUCAGAAUAUGCAAAGUACUAUGAUCCGUUUAAAGAGUACACUUUCCAUAAUGAAAAUCCAAUGAAAGAUAUAUCAGAACCGUUAGAAGAAGGCAAACGAAGGCUUGAAGCUGGAGAUUUACCGAGUGCAGUGUUGUGCUUUGAAGUCGCAGUGCAACAAGAGCCGAAAAAUGCUAAUGCUUGGUUAUUACUUGGAAAGACCCAGGCAGAAAAUGAACAAGAUCCUUUGGCCAUAUCAGCACUAAAGGAAUGCCUUACACUUGACCCAUCAAACUCUACGGCUCUUAUGGCUUUGGCAGUAUCCUAUACCAAUGAAUCUUAUCAGAAUCAGGCUUGUCUUACGCUCAAAGAAUGGUUAUUAAAAAACGAGAAAUACAAACAUCUUGUGCAAAAUAGGAUACAAGGCGCUCGAUAUACGGAAUCUGGAGUCUCCACCGUUUUAUUUCAUGAUAUCCAUAAUGAAGUGCGUGAGCUUUUCAUUGAAGCUGCAAGAAUGAAUCCUCAUGAAACAAUUGACCCUGAUGUUCAGUGUGGACUUGGCGUUCUCUUCAAUCUCUCCAGUGAAUAUGACAAAGCUGCUGAUUGUUUUCGUACUGCAUUGCAAGUUAUUCCUGAUGAUUCAAGACUGUGGAAUAGACUUGGUGCUACACUUGCUAAUGGCCAAAGUUCUGAAGAAGCUGUGGAUGCAUAUCACGAAGCUUUGAAACUUUCUCCAGGUUUUAUUAGAGCUCGCUACAAUCUUGGUAUUUCUUGCAUUAACUUGGGAGCGUAUAAUCAAUACUUAUGAACAGGACAUGAUGAUAGAAAAGAAUUCAAGCACCAAAAAACUUUAUUUUUUACAAGCUACGCAAAUAUUGACAACGAGAGCGAACGAAAGAUAUAUCUGGCACUUUGUCUAUUUAAAAAUAAAAGUUUUAUCAGUUUAUGGAGUCAGAUACCUAUAUGCAUCAUAUUUGUCAGCUCAAUCAACGAAAACCAAGACACAAAUAAAGAUAGUGAUAAUCGCUACCAAAUAUAUAAAUCGACUGCGCAUACUAAUAUUCUACGUGUACAACACGCAAAAUGGCAAAUGCAACGUUACAAAUGAUAAUUUGUGGUAGUUACAGACAAAUUUUGGUACCUUAUUUCUUUUUGUAUACUAUUUUAUUUGAUUAUGAGUUGUUUUCCUCUCUCAUUCUGCCAAGUGCGCUGAUAAUUCUUACAGUUGUACGUAUAAAUACGUUACUCUCGCUUGCCGAGUAUUCGACAGAGAAGUUACGCACGCGUGUUGAAUUUUGCGUACAAUCCAAGAAAAAUGUGCAUAAACCCCGUGAACGUUAUUCAACCUCUAUCUACAAUAAUAAAUGUUAUGAAUUUGUCUCAAACGUCAAUCAUUGAACUCGGAAACUGAUCAUAGAAGAUAUGCGUUAACCGCAGGAAACAGAAUUUCAAAAGAGGUUUGAUUUUCUAUUACCGUACGAAAUUCACGAAGUAUAAAUCGUAGAAGAUAACAGUUGAGAGGAAUGGUACUUACAACCCGAUACUAACUGCAACCCGAACUAAAUCCAGAUAGAAGCUGGCGAACAUCUGCUUACUGCACUCAAUCAACAAGCUGCAAGUCAUGAUGCAUAUGGCAGAAAUGGAACACCCAUGACCAUGUCAGAUACAAUAUGGUCCACACUUAGGCUAGUUAUUUCUUUGAUGCAU